GAUGAACGCUGGCGGCGUGCCUAAUACAUGCAAGUCGAGCGAACAGACGAGGAGCUUGCUCCUCUGACGUUAGCCGCGGACGGGUGUGUAACACGUGGAUAACCUACCUAUAAGACUGGUAUAACUUCGGGAAACCGGAGCUAAUACCGGAUAAUCUAUUGAACCGUAUGGUGCAAUAGUGAAAUACGGCUUUGCUGGCACUUCUCGAUGGAUCCGGGCGGCAUUGGCUGGUUGGUAAGGUAACGGCUUACCAAGGCAAGGAUGCGUAACCGACCUGAGAGGGGGAUCGGCCACCCGGGAAGUGAGGCACGGUCCAGACUCCUGCGGGAGGCAGCAGUCGGGAAUCUUCCGCAAUGGGCGAAAGCCUGGCGGAGCAGCGCCGCGUGAGUGAUGAAGGCCUUCGGAUCGUAAAGCUCGGUUAUUAGGGAAGAACAAAUGUGUAAGUAAAUGUGCACGUCUUGACGGUACCUAAUCAGAAAGCCACGGCUAACUACGUG
rnacentral:rRNA from 1 species